rnacentral:rRNA from 1 species
UACGAAGGGGGCUAGCGUUGUUCGGAAUUACUGGGCGUAAAGCGCGCGUAGGCGGUGAUCUUUGUCAGAGGUGAAAGCCUGGGGCUCAACUCCAGAAUUGCCUUUGAAACGGGAUUGCUUGAGUCCGAGAGAGGAUGGCGGAAUUCCUAGUGUAGAGGUGAAAUUCGUAGAUAUUAGGAAGAACACCGGUGGCGAAGGCGGGUCUCUGGGCAGUAACUGACGCUGAGGAGCGAAAGCGUGGGGAGCGAA